rnacentral:rRNA from 1 species
AACGAACGCUGGCGGCAUGCCUAACACAUGCAAGUCGAACGAAGUCUUCGGACUGAGUGGCGCACGGGUGCGUAACGCGUGGGAAUCUGCCCUUGGGUACGGAAUAACUCAGAGAAAUUUGUGCUAAUACCGUAUAAUGUCUUCGGACCAAAGAUUUAUCGCCCAAGGAUGAGCCCGCGUAAGAUUAGCUAGUUGGUGGGGUAAAGGCCUACCAAGGCGACGAGCUUUAGCUGGUCUGAGAGGAUGAUCAGCCACACUGGGACUGAGACACGGCCCAGACUCCUACGGGAGGCAGCAGUGGGGAAUAUUGGACAAUGGGCGAAAGCCUGAUCCAGCAAUGCCGCGUGAGUGAUGGAGGCCUUAGGGUUGUAAAGCUCUUUUACCAGGGAUGAUAAUGACAGUACCUGGAGAAUAAGCUCCGGCUAACUCCGUGCCAGCAGCCGCCGUAAUAC